ACCCCAAUGGAGAUAACAAUACUACUCCAUGUGUGUUUGCAAGCUCUCUGGACAGGAAUUGUUGUUUAUGAUGUGCAUAUAGAUGUACAAUGUCUUGGACAAUGGGGUCUUAACCUUGGGAAUGCAGGACAUUUGAGUGGAGUAAUAUAGAGUUUGUCAUAAGGGGAGAGGAGGACCAGAACUGCAGGAAUUUCCCCCUUCCAGGUGAUUUUUGCACUUCCGCUCAAAAUCUAUUCAUUGAAUCAUGACAAUUCUGAACUCGAGUCGCCACAGGAGGAACAAGGAGCUUUGCUGGAUCAAGCCUCUGCUUAUGAAGAAGGAAAAAAUGAUGAAAAUGUAGCACAAGAAUUAACAGUAAAGCAAAGCUUAAUAGUGACCCCAAUAAAGGGCAGAGUGCUACUCUCUGAAUAAAAUGGAAUAAUCAGAACAGAACCAGA